rnacentral:rRNA from 1 species
AUACGUAGGGGGCGAGCGUUGUCCGGAAUGAUUGGGCGUAAAGGGCGCGUAGGCGGCCUGUUAAGUCUGGAGUGAAAGUCCUGUUUUCAAGAUGGGAAUUGCUUUGGAUACUGCCGCGCUUGAGUGCAGGAGAGGUUAUCGGAAUUCCCGGUGUAGCGGUGAAAUGCGUAGAGAUCGGGAGGAACACCAGUGGCAAGGCGGGUAACUGGACUGCAACUGACGCUGAGGCGCGAAAGUGUGGGGAGCAAACAGGAUUAGAUACCCUGGUAGUCCACACCGUAAACGAUGAAUGCUAGGUGUAAGAGGUAUCGACCCCUUUUGUGCCGGAGUCAACACAAUAAGCAUUCCGCCUGGGGAGUACGGCCGCAAGGUUGAAACUCAAAGGAAUUGACGGGG